AGAUAGGGACUUCAACUCAGACCUCCUGAACCAGAGGUCGACCACUACCACUGUAUUACAAGAGCCCUUCCUGUUGCUCCGUCAAAGCAUCCUCUUGUUUCAGAAGAGCGCAUGGGUUCUCCGAUACUAACCAUGCCACCAGGACAACCAGUUACUCUUGUUACUAUGGAUACUGUUGCUACGUUACACGAGAUACUCUGUGAGAUCUGAGACCUGCUGAGGUUGUGGGCAUCACUUGCUAUCCCAGAAUUGAUUGCCUAACCCUUAUUACCCAGAGGAUAGUUAAGAAUCAAUUACAGUAUUAUGGGCCUGGGGCCAUACGUAGGACAGAAAAGUGGAUUCAAAUAUUACCAUCUGCCAACCCAUGUCCCAGAACCCCAGAGCUUGGGGUUCUGGAUUACUAUUCCAUUGACAUUAGCGACAUGCCACCGCCUCCACCUCACUUUCAAAAAAUGAAGCGUGAAAGAAAGGUCAAGGAUCAAUGAGCAGACCUUAAGAACUGUACACCAGUUUCCUCUGCACUGAUGGUAUGCAAACUGACAGUGAGAAAACUGUUGCGAUGAUCAGCCCCAGGAAAUCACUGCAGGAGCUCCUCAAGCAGUCUUCCAGACUCAAUCAUUUUAGCUGCUUCAUUGAUGAUCUUGCCUCCAUCAGACGUUCAGAAAUGAGAAACUAAA